rnacentral:rRNA from 1 species
AUUGAACGCUGGCGGCAGGCCUAACACAUGCAAGUCGAGCGGAUGAAGGGAGCUUGCUCCUGGAUUCAGCGGCGGACGGGUGGGUAAUGCCUAGGAAUCUGCCUGGUAGUGGGGGAUAACGUCCGGAAACGGGCGCUAAUACCGCAUACAUCCUGAGGGAGAAAGUGGGGGAUCUUCGGACCUCACGCUAUCAGAUGAGCCUAGGUCGGAUUAGCUAGUUGGUGGGGUAAAGGCCUACCAAGGCGACGAUCCGUAACUGGUCUGAGAGGAUGAUCAGUCACACUGGAACUGAGACACGGUCCAGACUCCUACGGGAGGCAGCAGUGGGGAAUAUUGGACAAUGGGCGAAAGCCUGAUCCAGCCAUGCCGCGUGUGUGAAGAAGGUCUUCGGAUUGUAAAGCACUUUAAGUUGGGAGGAAGGGCAGUAAGUUAAUACCUUGCUGUUUUGACGUUACCAACAGAAUAAGCACCGGCUAACUUCGUG